rnacentral:misc_RNA from 1 species
GUAUCAUCUCAUUUUGCGGCACCACUCUCCAUUUACCAAAACCCGUGUUCUUCGCGGCGGCCGGAAAAUCAAGAAACAUUUUAUCCACCACCAGUCUACUACCAGUAUGGCUAAAAUGGCGGCUGACCCUUUUUCUGUACGGAUAGAAGCUACUUGUUCGUCUUGUCCAUUGAACCUUCGAAGCUCAAAGACAGCAACUUUUCGAAUUCAAGCUCAUAAUAAUCAGCACACAGAUGACAAGAACAGAUUCUACAAAGAGCUUGGA